rnacentral:rRNA from 1 species
GAUGAACGCUGGCGGCGUGCCUAAUACAUGCAAGUCGAGCGAACAGACGAGGAGCUUGCUCCUCUGACGAUAGCGGCGGACGGGUGAGUAACACGUGGAUAACCUACCUAUAAGACUGGGAUAACUUCGGGAAACCGGCGCUAAUACCGGAUAAUAUAUUGAACCGCAUGGUUCACUAGUGAAAGACGGCUUUGCUGUUACCUAUAGAUGGAUCCGCGCCUCAUUAGCUAGUUGGUAAGGUAACGGCCUACCAAGGCAACGGUGCGUAGCCGACCUGGGAGGGUGAUCGGCCACACUGGAACUGAGACACGGUCCAGACUCCUAGGGGAGGCAGCAGUAGGGAAUCUUCCGCAAUGGGCGAAAGCCUGACGGAGCAACGCCGCGUGGGUGAUGAAGGUCUUCGGAUCGUAAAACUCUGUUAUUAGGGAAGAACAAAUGUGGAAGUAACUAUGCACGUCUUGACGGUACCUAAUCAGAAAGCCACGGCUAACUACGUG